AACAGUAUAGGCUAGGCUUUUUUUCUAUGUAUUUUAUAUGUGUCUAUUCAUUUAAUGCCCUUGAUAAUCCACUGAAAGAGGUGUCAUUAUUAUCAUCCCAUUUUACAGAAGAAGAAACUGAAACAAGAAGAUGAGCAUCUCAGCAUCUCAGAGGUGAAGAAACUGGCCUAGCCACCACGUGGUGGCACUUGCAGCCUGAGUCAGCAGAUCCCCAGGCAAAUGAAGACUCUGAGAUGAAGACAGCUGAGCGCAUGAUGGGGUAGGUCAGCCUCCCUCAUGGAAAUUCUGUGUGCCUGAGGCCCACCCUUCCAGUGCAGAUGGAGGGAUGGGAUGGAAAUGAAUCUAGGGGAACGCAUCCCAGCUGUGAUCCAGCCACCUCUGCGUUUGAAGGCUGGGGGUUAUUCCCUCCUCAUGGUUGCCACGCAUUCUUAUGUUUGCAUGUCAUGCUUGGAACUGCCGCAGCCACUUUGUGACAGCCUGAGAAUGAAUCCAGCGCUAAAAUCAGUCUAGCAAAAGGAGGAGAAACACCUGGGUCUCCAUGAUGUCACUGAGCAAGUGAAUUGACCAGCUGUGAGCCUUGUGAGGACACGUUGAGAUGACUGCAAGCUGGGAAGAGAGCCUUCACCAGGAGCUGAAUUUGCUGGUAGUUUGAUCUUGAACCACAUUGAGAUGACUGCAAGCUGGGAAGAGAGCCUUCACCAGGAGCUGAAUUUGCUGGUACUUUGAUCUUGAACCUCCAGCCUCCAGAAUUGUGACAAAAUAAAUUUCUGUUGUUGAAGCCA
rnacentral:lncRNA from 1 species